ACAACACUUUACAUGGUAUAGGGGCCAAAGAGUAGGCAGCUUGCUUUGCUUAGUGGGUACUUGAGAUAAGAUACGAAGCUUUCAUUGGCCACUGAGGUCUGCCACAGGAGGAAAGAAGAACGUUAUGCGAGUAUGCACUUUCUUGGGGUUGCCCUUAUCACAGGUUAUUAUCAGGAAUAGAGUGUUUAUUGUCAAUCAUUACCUUGAUUUCAUUUCAUCGCACAAAUCUAGUGGAAACUUUUUGUGAUGACUGUUUCAAGCUUCUGUAUCGCUCUCUAAAUUUUCCGUUAAAUCCUAGCCACAGUGAGUAGGUUCGCUGUAAGUAGGUUGAACUUGCAAGCAACAACGGACAGCUCGAGAGGACCGGGGGGUGCUUCUCGUGUCACGGGAGGAAGGGACGAAGAACCUCGCUCCCAAUCCAAUAUUGGACGUUGGGUUCCUCCAGCCUUAAGACGCGAUGCACUUGCCCAAGAAAGCCCAGAAAACAUCAUCUUCCGCAAGGUUAGAGGGAUUCUUAACAAGCUUACUCCUGAGAAAUUCCAUAAACUGAGCUCUGACUUGUUGCAAAUUGAACUAACAACAUCAGAAUAUGUGCUGAAGGGCAUCAUAUUUUGGUAAGAUACCAUACACCCUGUUUUUUCCGUGUAAAUGUUAAUAAAAUUUUGAUAGUUAAUUAAGUUAAAUUGAUUGUGUAAAACUUUUAGAAAUAUAGCUUCCAACUUUAUAAGAGUACAAAGUAAAUUAACAUAAUUUGGAC
rnacentral:lncRNA from 1 species